CCGUUGGCGAAAAAACCAGCCGAUCCUCUCCGCCAACGCGUCGCGUUGUUCAACAAAGGCACGCCCGAUUUGAAGUUGCGCUUUAGCUUCGUUUAAGUACGUAGAAAAAAAUUGAAUAAAUAUGUAUAUAUAUAUAUAACACUCGUACUUAUAA
rnacentral:ribozyme from 1 species